UACGUAGGGUGCAAGCGUUGUCCGGAAUUAUUGGGCGUAAAGAGCUCGUAGGCGGCUCGUCACGUCGGCUGUGAAAACCCGGGGCUCAACCCCGGGCCUGCAGUCGAUACGGGCGAGCUAGAGUUCGGCAGGGGAGACUGGAAUUCCUGGUGUAGCAGUGAAAUGCGCAGAUAUCAGGAGGAACACCGGUGGCGAAGGCGGGUCUCUGGGCCGAUACUGACGCUGAGGAGCGAAAGCGUGGGGAGCGAACAGG
rnacentral:rRNA from 1 species